GCACGGGGCGGGGGAGGGGAGAGCGGCGCAGUGGGCCCGGGCGGCCUGACGGGGUGGGUGAGGCCUGCUUGCGCCACGUGACGUCAGGGGCUGCAUCGUCUCCAUGACGUCACCAGAGAGGCAUGACGGUAUAGAGCACACCCACGCGGAGGAUAACAAUGGCUCAGUAAGGAAAGGAAGCUCCCACUGGCCAACUCCCUUGACUUCCACAGCUCUCCUGGAUGAUACCUGCUGAGCUUUACUGCUGUGACUGGUCCCCAUUGAUUUCAAUGUGGGUCCACACUGGAGUCAGGUUCAAGUCUUGGAAAGCAGCCUAACUUUGUGACCCCCAUCUUUGCUGGCAAGAUCCCCCAUGCUUGAACAGAGAGCCAUUUUCUUCCCAGAGGCUUCACAAAGACCUGAGUGCCCUUUCAGAGUUGAUGAAGUGGGAGCUGAAAGGGCUUACUUUAAGGAAGAUUUGUUUCCAAGUUAUUUGAACCUGCAGAGAUCAUUUCAUUCACUGAAGAAAAAUGUACAUGGAAUAUGCAAUGGGAAGAAAAACAAAAAACAAUGGUGACAUUUCCAGUGCUGGAGAAGAUAGGGUCAGUGUGGCCCAGUCCUAACUAGAUAACACAUUCAGGACUUCAAUAUGUUGCAUUGAUUUUCCAUCAGAAACAUAUAAUUGGAUUUAUUUAGAUUUUAAGCUCUGGGUCAGGAACAGUCUUUUUGUUCCUUGUUUAGACACUGUCACGCACAGGAGAGUCACAGGGGAGUUCGUGGCUAGCGCUGUACUAUUAGGUAGUACUGCAAUACAACUAAUGCACCAUGAAAUACAUAAAGAGAACACAAAACAACCCCCAAUGGAGAAACAACCAUGUUAUUGUCAAGGCCCUUUAAUAAUGCAAACAAAAUCUCCUCAGAAUAGAGAUGAAGUGGUUGAAGGCUCCUGGUUUUGCUCAGUUAUUUGCAACGAUAUUCCAGUACAAAAAAACAGGAAGCCACGUUUGUUAAUGACUGGGUACUAGAAGCUAGCUACAGAACUGUUCCCCUUUGUGAACUGCAGAUAAUAAAAGGAAAAAGCACUAAAAAUUCUGAACUAUUCAGGAGGCUGAUUUUUGUUUCUCCUGUCCUCUUUGCAAGUGGACAGAACAGGUUCUACAGAUCCAUGGUCAGCUGAGAAGCUCAGUCCAUACUAAUUUUUGUUUUGCAUAUGCAAGAAAUGAAAGGCACAGUUCAUUUAAAUAAAUUUUAGAAUAUAAAGGCUUCACUGCUACAGCUCAGAAAUAAAAGCAACACAGGUGCAUUACGGAUGUCAUAAAGCAGCAUAAUUGGAAGGUGCAACAACAAAAGCCACUUGCUUUGUGGGCUCUUGGAACAAACACUGUGUGCUCAGCACAGGAUCUCUGACCUCCCUGGCAGCAGCCGUGACUCAUAAUACGUAAGCCUGUUUUGCCCCACACAAAGGCCGGCACACACACGUACGUGCAUGCGCGCGCGCGCACACACACACACACACACACACACACACACACACAGAGGAAACAUGUCUCAUCCACAGUGUCUAAAACCAAGGAAAGGAAAUGCUUGCUGUUGCACUGUAUAGAACACGUGGUGACCAAAGGAAACCUACUUCAUCAAGCAGCUUUCUUGCACCCGGUCAGCUCCCUGUGACCACAUCCUCUCUAGCCAUGGGUGCCAGUAGAGCGGAAAGAUGACGGUGCAGUGGGGAAUAUCACGUGCUACCUCUCUUCUCCUCUACCUUCACCCCUACCUUCUUCUGUGUGACCAGGGCCCUUCAAGUCUCACAGACAAAGACACACCUUGGGCCUUAACAGAUACAGAUGACUCACAAAGUGGGCUGGAUCCAUGGAGGUUUCCAUUAGCUUGUUAGGAGCUAGACUGGCACAGGUUUUAAUCAGCUGUGCAAGCUCCCCCUCUCCCCCAUUCAAACUGUGAUUGCAACUGCAGGAGGGGGAGCAGGAGCUACUGAGGUACAUAGGGGUCCUCUGGGCCAGUGUUUCUCAACCUUUUAAGUAGCAAGUACCCCCUAACUUCUGAAAAUGUUAAUAACUACCCCAACACUUAAUUUUACAGGGGAUUUUAUAUUUACAGACUAAUGUGUGCCAUAUGUUGGAAGAACAGCUGUGAAUAUAAGGCUGUGAUAUGACAGAUGUCUGAUCUGGUGUGGGUAGGGUUGCCACCUUUUACACCGGGGUGCACAACUCGACUAUGUACCUGGGCUAGAGGUGAUGUUGGCCAAAGCUAGGAGGGCUGAGCCCAGUGCCUCGCAAAGCGUGGCGCGCCAAAUUAUUACUGGGGAAUUUAAAGCACUGCGCAGUGUGCAGUGUACCAAUUUUUUUGCCACAUUUUUGAGAGGGGAAGGAGGCGAGAGAGAGAGGAAAAGAGGGUGAGAGAGAGAGAGAGAGUGUUGGGGUACCCACGUGCCCCUUGCCUUUGUCUCGUGUACCCCCAGGGGUACACGUACCAUAGGUUGAGAAACUGUGCUCCGGACCACUGAAUCCAGGGUUCAUUGUUAACAGACAAGCAUUUACCCAGGGAUUCACCAGUCACUGCUUCCAGUCCUCUUACACAGCAACAAGCCAUGAGAGUAAUAGGUUAAUUACUCGCUCAGUUCUCUUCACUGUGUCAGGGAAGACAGAGAGACACAGGGGCUAGAGACAGAAAAUUACACGUAAACCGGUAUAAGUGAUCAGAAACCAGUUCAAAUCUGUAACACAACAGAAAUUCAGUGCACAUAAACCACUUUCAAAAUGGCUGAAAAACCUAGAUGGAUGUAAUAUCAGACUUAACUGAUUUAGGUUAAAUUGCUUUAUUGAACUUCUGCCCCAGAUCAGGGAGUGGGAAGAACUCUGGCUUUGCUUUUCUCCUUUACUCACUAUUUCUUGGCUAGAGUAACUCUUAAAUGUACAAUUUCCUUUCCCCAACCCAGAGAAAAGGGGGAGAGGGGUGCUAAGCACUGAUGUUAAGAGUGGCCAGAGGAAGCCAUUUGCAGCUCACAGCAAAGUUUUAGGUCGUACAAACCUCAGGAACUAUAUUCUUGAGUGCCAUCUAAUGGUAUACUAUCAGUGUUGCUACUUGCACAUCCAGGGACGUGGAACACUACCACAGGGAGGAGUGCCCAUUGCUUCCAGGUCAGUGAAGACCACAAAGUUACAAUCAUGCAGCCUUAUGUUUUGUUCACAUAUGCCACCAGAAAAGGGAAAAGAAUUAUAGUAAACUUGGAUCACUUUGUGCAUUUUUACAGGUCUUUGAGAGAAUCAUUCAUAGCUAUUGUAUGUGCUUUCUCUUUCUUGCUUUCUCUCCAGGGUAGAAAGGAGACAGUUAUGUGUGUGUGUGUGUGCAUUUAAAAGACUUGAAUGUGAACUAGACAGUCCCUGGGGCUACAAUAAAAAGAAAUGUAUAUCCUUACUUCUUGUUUUCAGCUGGAAGAAAAUCUAAAUGCAUUGGAGUUAUUUUUACCUUUCAGAAAGCUUUGUAGGUUAAAAUAAUCUCCCACAAACAUACUAUUUCUUCACUUUAUUUUUGAAUACACACUAAUCAAAAGCCUGAAGAUGAAAUAAUUUGGUUUUACCAACCCAGUUGUUGAAUUCUAUGAAACAGGUAAGUAAUGUUGACAUGAAAAUCUUAUGAUCCUUGAAAAGAAAAUGCGCAAUGUAUAUGUGUUUAUGAGCUCCCCAGCAUUUGCCUUCUUAUAUACAAAAGAGCUAAGUGUCAACGUUUAUAAAGAAUGCUGUUUAUUACCCAGCAUUAGAUUUGCCAAAUAACAUGGUGUGAUAGAAAUGUUUCAUUACGCAUAAAUAUAUUCUUUUUUGCUCAUAGAAAACCAAAUCCAACUGCAUAGCUCAUGUACCACAGAGUCAGAGUAUUGUACUUUACCUUAAGACUCCAAUUUAUGUGCUUCUUGGACCUAGUAAUUUUUUAUUUUCAAAUCUGCACAGUGGAUCCAACCUUUUUCAGACUGUAGUCAAUAGAGGUUUUGUCCUUGACUUCAAUGAAAGCAGGAUCAGACCCAAUGUGUAGGCAUAAAAGCCAGUUACCGUUUUUUAAAGCGUGCCUUAGGCUGGCCAUAUGUGAACUGGAGAGAAUUGGAUGCUAUCCCUCUCUGAACUCUCUGCUGAAACAAAAAUCAAAGAAAGCUGUCAAGAUCUUGGAGAUUAUUUGCAAAUACUCAUUCAGGGAUGAAAAUAACAGAUGCUACUAUGUCCUGCAAUGUGGAACACCUUCCUUGUUAUCUUCACUGUCAUAACUUUGACCAUACAGUAUUUUCUCCUUGUAUACAUUUCAUGAUUGCCUUCCAAGGAAGGCUAGAUCUAUACUGCAAUCAGAGUCGCAACACGUCUGAGCCAGCUAUUGUCGGGCUAGCUUGGGUACCAGUAGCAGUAAACGGGUAGCCUAGGCUUCAGGGUAGGCCAGCCAUUCUGAAUACAGAGCCACAGUCCUGAGUGGAUUUGUGCAGCCCAUCCUGAAGCCUGUCUUGCUAUGAUUUUGCUGUUCUUGGUAUCUCAGCCAGCCAAAAUUUAAGCAAGCUUAGAUCUGUACACACCUAAUGCAAUCAAUAUCUGCCUAUGAUAUAAACCAGCAAACAGCAUGGAGACAAAGCUAUUAUUUCUUUUCAAACCACCAUGCUUCUGAAAGACAUACGGAUGGUAAUUAGCAGUUUGAGAAAGCCACUUCUCAGAGAUGCCCUCUUAUCAAAAUUCUGACACGUGGCAUUACCUUAAAGCCUGAAACGGCAUUCUUUAUACAAAAGGCCUUGAACUCUCUUUGGAUAGAGCACUUUCAUAUCCUCUUGGAUGGAAUACUUUCAUAUCCUCUAAGCUCAUGCAUUUUAUGGUAAUAAGCUGUGGGAUUUAGCACUGCUGCGACAACACGCCUCCUUUUGUGCCUAGCAGAAUAAAGAGGGUUUUUCCAAGUGAAAGGUGGUGGUGAGUUAAAAUGACACUUGGAUCUGAUGCUGUAUUUACCUCCUGACUUUGUAGAGAGUUUUAUUUUUAAUGCUAAUAAGAUUUCAGAGAUGAACUUUGUGAACUACUGUUCAGUGUUUAUCCAC